rnacentral:rRNA from 1 species
UACGUAGGGUGCAAGCGUUGUCCGGAAUUAUUGGGCGUAAAGGGCGCGUAGGCGGCCCGUCAAGUCCCGUGUGAAAGCCCCCGGCUCAACCGGGGAACUGCACGGGAAACUAGCAGGCUUGAGUUCGGGAGAGGGAAGCGGAAUUUCGGGUGUAGCGGUGAAAUGCGCAGAUAUCCGAAGGAACACCGGUGGCGAAGGCGGCUGCCUGGACCGACACUGACGCUGAGGCGCGAAAGCUAGGGGAGCAAACGGG